GACGAACGCUGGCGGCGUGCUUAACACAUGCAAGUCGAACGGAAAGGCCCUGCUUUUGUGGGGUGCUCGAGUGGAGAACGGGUGAGUAACACGUGAGUAACCUGCCCUUGACUUUGGGAUAACUUCAGGAAACUGGGGCUAAUACCGGAUAGGAGCUCCUGCUGCAUGGUGGGGGUUGGAAAGUUUCGGCGGUUGGGGAUGGACUCGCGGCUUAUCAGCUUGUUGGUGGGGUAGUGGCUUACCAAGGCUUUGACGGGUAGCCGGCCUGAGAGGGUGACCGGCCACAUUGGUACUGAGAUACGGCCCAGACUCCUACGGGGGGCAGCAGGGGGGAGUAUUGCACAAUGGGCGGAAGCCUGAUGCGGCAACGCCGCGUGCGGGAUGACGGCCUUCGGGGUGUAAACCGCUUUCGCCUGUGACGAAGCGUGAGUGACGGUAAUGGGUAAAGAAGCACCGGCUAACUACGUG
rnacentral:rRNA from 1 species